ACUCCUACGGGAGGCAGCAGUGGGGAAUCUUCCGCAAUGGGCGAAAGCCUGACGGAGCAACGCCGCGUGAGCGAAGAAGGUCUUCGGAUUGUAAAGCUCUGUCAGGAGGGACGAAGCCACUCGGGUGAAUAGCCCAGAGGGUGACGGUACCUCCAGAGGAAGCCCCGGCUAACUACGUGCCAGCAGCCGCGGUAAUACGUAGGGGGCGAGCGUUGUCCGGAAUCAUUGGGCGUAAAGCGCGUGUAGGCGGCCGACCAAGUCCGAUGUGAAAGCUCGGGGCUCAACCCCGAGUCUGCAUUGGAAACUGAUCGGCUAGAGUCCGGAAGAGGAGACUGGAAUUCCUGGUGUAGCGGUGAAAUGCGCAGAUAUCAGGAAGAACACCGGUGGCGAAGGCGGGUCUCUGGGACGGUACUGACGCUGAGACGCGAAAGCGUGGGGAUCAAACAGGAUUAGAUACCCUGGUAGUCCACGCCGUAAACGAUGAGUACUAGGUGUCGGGGGUUACCCCCCUCGGUGCCGCAGCUAACGCAUUAAGUACUCCGCCUGGGGAGUACGCUCGCAAGAGUGAAACUCAAAGGAAUUGACGG
rnacentral:rRNA from 1 species